GUUCACCCUAAGUCGAUGUUAAAGCUAAAUCAUUUUCAAAACAUCAGUUCUCAACUGUUCGCUCGAGAGGAAAGCAGCAACUUGAAUAGCGUUAAGAAUGACACCUACGUUGCACUUAGUCUUUUGCUUGGUACUGCUGUCAGCAGUGAUGGCAUCUACACAACUGGAUUCAUCCCUUUUGGAAAGCCUUAGUGGUGG